rnacentral:miRNA from 1 species
GGAAACCUUUUGUGGGGGUUUG